AUCAAGUUAGUUUAUUUAUUAAAACUUCAGGGUGUGGGCUUGGAAAAGAAAAUGUAUUUUCACUUGAUA
rnacentral:tRNA from 1 species